AGAGAUAUAAAGGCUUCUUUGAUGCAAAGGGACAGGGAUUUUGACGAUUUUUUCUAUAGGUCUUGUUUGGUUUAUAGGAAUGAAAAAUCAUAGUUUAUUUUGCCUACAGUUUCAAAAAUCAAUCCACUGAGUCCAACCUCGGGAAGAAUUUCCUUUUUUUUUUCCUAUGACAACUAUGUCAUGCAUCUUCUGUGUUCUUCUUUUUUGGUUCGGUGUUUAAAGAAAACAGAUUCCAGUGUUGUUAGGUCCUACAAGAUUCAACGUCAGACAUUUUUUGUUCCUGCGUUAUUAGAAUCGUGUGAACCAAAUUAAAGAGGCGCUCACCAAACUUGUUUAUGCAUGGCAAAAGCAGAUAAAGUAUUCCUCAUGUGCAAAUGCUAGGAAUAUUUUUUGAGGUCGGCUUCCAGAAAACAACAGGGCUGUGCAUUUUUACAGUGGCCCCGCAGCCACAGUGAAAGUUGUUGUUCCCUCCGUUGACGAUGCUGGCUGAUGACACUGGGUCUUCGCACAUCACAAAAAAAAUGAGAGAGAGAGAGAGAGAGAGAGAGAGAGAGAGAGAGAGAGAGAGAGAGAGAGAGAGAGAGGGGCACACAGCUCCAUUGUAGGAUGGUACGCACCGAUAGAAGGGAGGAGAACAAGCAAGCUAAGAAAUUACUCGUCUUUGAUUCGGUUCCCCCCUACCACAUACCCAAACCAAGUUCUUCCACAGUCACCACCUUCCCAAAUAGCAGAAACCUAGAAACAUUCAGAAGAUGGUGACCUCCAAGCAAGAUCACGCCAGAGGAGGAGAGAGACCAUGAGGUAUCUGGCGAACUGACCAAGAUCCAAGGGGGUGAAGCUAACAAGGGGAGCCCCUGCAAGCUGCAAUUGACCACCAUCGAGUAAAUCUCCAGCGGCAUGCAGCUCCUAGCCAGCAAGACUUGGACUCCGCUGGGGAAGGAGCGCGAUGCUGAGCGCAUGUCAGAGGCCAUGGCGCGAAUCAAGACUAUCCAGGUGACGGCAAGACAAGACUCGAUGACUCGAUGAUGCUUUUGGUGCCUUCGGUGGAUGUUUCAUGUUAGAUAGGUCUUCUGCGUUGGAUGAUUUGUAUGGUGUAAUGUUGCCUUCGUGUGGAACCUCUGUGCUGUUUUCUGUCGUCCUCUUGGACUGAACCUGGUUUCUGCUUUUCUGGGUUGUAACUUGCUGAACUAGUGCCUGAGGGCUUUAUUAAUUUAAAGCCGGACGCGUCUAGCGUCUUCGUUUAAAAAAAAGAACGCGCUCCGUGCUACUAUAAA